AUGCGACGGCAGGCUCCAUGCUYCGGCAUCGAACUGUCGCCUCGCGCCCCUCGUCAGUUUACGCAUCAAGAUUGGCUUGUGCGAAUGUCGGGUUCCUGUGUUGCCUACCUAUCUCGAAGGAAUGUUGCCUCUCGUUGCUAUUUCCUCCUCCAGCCCCCCGCGGGUCGGAGGAGGACGUCGUAGCACUGCUUGUGUCCCGAUCAAGCCACACAUCGUUGUGAGAUUGUGACGGUCCACGAGUUGCUGCUCGAUUUCUCGGAUGCGGAACGCUAAGCGGGCGCGGAGUCUUCGGCCUCCGAUCGUCCAACUCGAAGCCUUUGUCGCUUGACGCGUACGACUGCCGUCGCCGCUGCGGGCUUUCGACCUCCAAGGUCGCUGGUCUCGCACGGCGCCGGCGUCGAAGAGGAAUGCUACCUGGUU
rnacentral:misc_RNA from 1 species